rnacentral:rRNA from 1 species
UACGGGGGGGGGUAAGCGUUGUUCGGAAUUACUGGGCGUAAAGGGCUCGUAGGCGGCCAACUAAGUCAUACGUGAAAUCCCUCAGCUUAACUGGGGAACUGCGUGUGAUACUGGAUGGCUUGGAUUUGAGAGAGGGAUGCGGAAUUCCAGGUGUAGCGGUGAAAUGCGUAGAUAUCUGGAGGAACACCGGUGGCGAAGGCGGCAUCCUGGACCAAUAUUGACGCUGAGGAGCGAAAGCCAGGGGAGCAAACGGG